AACAAUGUAUCAUUGAGCAAAUGAGGCACAUCUUCAAUUACAACGUUCCACUCAGUAAAGUUCAAUGGAAGAUGCACACGCUGAUUCAACAAAGUAAGGAAAUGACUGAAAGCUAAGGUAGUCACACAACCCACGUUACAUUCAAUUUCCUCCUCAAAGCCUUGGAGAACAAUAUUUACAAUCUGAGACAAACAACAAACGUCAAUAAUAAAAUAAUAAUUAUUACUAAUUAAACAAUAUAAUUAUAAACAAACAGUAUUAUUAUUACCCAACCACGGUUGAUCUCGAAUUCACUCGGAUUAUCAACGAUCAUAUCAGGUUGACGAACUUCAGCAUCAUCGUGUUGAGGUGAGUGAGGAUGAGGAACGACAAUUUCAAAAGGAACUAUUGCUUGAUGAUCCUCUUGAAGUGGAGGAGGAUGAGGAACGACAAGAGGAACUAUUGCUUGAUGAGAACGACUAUGUGAUUUUCUUCUUGUUCUUCUUCUGCUUUGAAAAUAUGGAGGAGAAAAGCGAUGCACCGGAUUUCUAUUCCUCUGCACCCUUUCAACCCUUGCNNN
rnacentral:lncRNA from 1 species